AAAUAAAUAAACAUUAAAAAAAAAAGUUAAAAAAAAAUAAUCAUUCCUUUCAGAGACUCCUUAUCAUGAGUUCUGGGAUUCCUUCCAGCUUACGGGUCUGGGGGUGAAUGCCCACUGGGGGCGUCCUCCACGCAAAACACUUUGGGGCCAUUUGAUCCUCUCCCACCAGCAGCUCAGUAAGGUUGUCCUGUGUGGCCAUGAAAGAAAACCCUAUGUGGAAUAUCUCUGGGAGCUCCAGGACCACCUGGGUGGACCUGGGGAGAAGCAGAAUUCAGAGAGAGCUGUGGCAUGGGGUUGGGCACCCCAGCACCUAGGACACCUCUGUGACAGAGCUGAUACCCAUUGAUGAUGCCGCCAAUCACACUUUGCGUCUCACCAAUGACAAGAAUGAGAACCAGAAUAACUCCAAGGACGUUCCAAGGACAAUGGUUCAAGGGACCUACUGCUCUCUCCAAUCCCUUGAAAACUGACUAUCUUGGAUUUUACUUCUGAACCCGCCCACUAGCCACAUGGGAAUGAGCCCGUUUUCAAGGUCCUCCAUGGAGCAACCGGCCAUCUCACCGUCCCAGGAGCCAAGAGGCAGCCCCAGCUGUGUGGGGUGAGGUAGGAGAUGCUCACUGAAGUAGGAAUGGGGCCUGUGUUCUCUCAGACGACUAUGAAGACAAGGGAGAACUGAGGAUCGCUCCAUCUGUUACACUGAGAACGGACUGCAGGGAGCCAGGGUGGAAGCAGGAGGCUGUCUGGAGGCUUCUGUAGUAACCCGGUGGAGAGAGCAUGCCACCGGGAGUCGGAACUAAAAAAGCAGUGCCUUUCAAAUCAAAACCACGAUGAGUUACCGCCUCAUACCUGUUAGAACGGCGACUGUUAACAACCAAAACCACACCCAGAAAACAACAAGUGUUGGCAAGGACGCAGAGAAAUUGGCACCCCGGUGUCCCGCUGGUAGGAAUGUGACAGCAUGGCAGUUUCUCAAAAUAUUAAAAAUAGAAUUACUGGA